GUGAAUAUAGUUUACUUAAAACCCUAGAUUGUGAAUCUAGUAACAGAAACUCAAACAUUUCUUAUUCACC
rnacentral:tRNA from 1 species